GCAUAUCAAUAAGCGGAGGAAAAGAAACCAACAGGGAUUGCCCUAGUAACGGCGAGUGAAGCGGCAACAGCUCAAAUUUGAAAUCUGGCUCUUUCAGAGUCCGAGUUGUAAUUUGCAGAGGGCGCUUUGGCGUUGGUAGCGGUCCAAGUUCCUUGGAACAGGACGUCACAGAGGGUGAGAAUCCCGUACGUGGUCGCUAACCUUCGCCGUGUAAAGCCCCUUCGACGAGUCGAGUUGUUUGGGAAUGCAGCUCUAAAUGGGAGGUAAAUUUCUUCUAAAGCUAAAUACUGGCCAGAGACCGAUAGCGCACAAGUAGAGUGAUCGAAAGAUGAAAAGCACUUUGGAAAGAGAGUGAAAUAGCACGUGAAAUUGUUGAAAGGGAAGCGCUUGCAGCCAGACUUGCCUGUAGUUGCUCAUCCGGACUUUUGUCCGGUGCACUCUUCUGCGGGCAGGCCAGCAUCAGUUUGGGCGGUUGGAUAAAGGACUCUAUCACGUACUACCUUUCGGGGUAGCCUUAUAGGGGAGUUGUCAUACAACCAGCCUGGACUGAGGUCCGCGCAUCUGCUAGGAUGCUGGCGUAAUGGCUGUAAGCGGCCCGUCUUGAAACACGGACCAAGGAGUCUAACAUCUAUGCGAGUGUUUGGGUGUCAAGCCCGAACGCGUAAUGAAAGUGAACGGAGGUGGGAACCCUUAAGGGUGCACCAUCGACCGAUCCUGAUGUCUUCGGAUGGAUUUGAGUAAGAGCAUGGCUGUUGGGACCCGAAAGAUGGUGAACUAUGCUUGAAUAGGGUGAAGCCAGAGGAAACUCUGGUGGAGGCUCGCAGCGGUUCUGACGUGCAAAUCGAUCGUCAAAUUUGGGCAUAGGGGCGAAAGACUAAUCGAACUAUCUAGUAGCUGGUUCCUGCGA
rnacentral:rRNA from 1 species